UACGUAGGGGCCAAGCGUUGUCCGGAUUUAUUGGGCGUAAAGAGCUCGUAGGCGGUUGGGUAAGUCGGGUGUGAAAACUCCAGGCUCAACUUGGAGGUGCCACCCGAUACUGCUCUGACUUGAGUUCGGUAGGGGAGUGGGGAAUUCCUGGUGUAGCGGUGAAAUGCGCAGAUAUCGGGAGGAACACCUAUGGCGAAGGCAGCUCGCUGGGACGUUACUGACGCUGAGACGCGAAAGCGUGGGGAGCAAACAGG
rnacentral:rRNA from 1 species